GACGUAGGGCGCGAGCGUUGUCCGGAUUAUUGGGCGUAAAGAGCUCGUAGGCGGCUUGUCGCGUCGUCCGUGAAAACCUGCGGCUCAACUGCAGGCGUGGCGUCGAGUACGGCGAGCUGGAGUUCGGUAGGGGAGACUGGAAUUCCUGGUGUAGCGGUUGAAAUGCGCAGAUAUCGAGGAGGAACACCCGUAGCGAAGGCGGCACUCUGGGCCGAUACUGACACUGGAGGAGCGAAAGCGUGGGGAGCGAACAGG
rnacentral:rRNA from 1 species